UGGCAGUGGUCGCGGACGGGCGUCCGUGCCAUUUCGUGCGGCGUCCAACAACAACGGCAGCAGUCACAGCAGCAGCAGCAGCAGCAGCAGCAGCAGCAGACGUAGUACAUCGGCGUCCGUCGUCCCGUUGGCGGCCGUGUGUACACGUAACGCGCGGUGUCCCGUGUCGUCGGCUGCGGCGGCGACAGCGACAACGACGGCGGCGGCGACGGCGACGGCGGCAGCAGUAACGGCAGCGGUACCGGACAAGAGCGACACACAGAAUAUAUUGGCGGUGCUAAACACUCUUUUAGGAGAUCUUAGCCUAUGAUGAGCGAGCAUAGCGAGCUGCAAAUUUUUUGAUCAUACAAAAAAAAUGUGGGCCGCUGAAAUCUUCUGCACCCGGGCCGAAGUAUAUUACAUGAAUAAGAGACUACUGACUUAUAUAUCAAAUGUUAUUGUUGAUAAUCAAUAAAAUAGUCAAGUGGAAGAAUUACACUUCAAAUAAAAUUGUUCAAGUAUAAUCUUUAUACUUAAUAUUAAGGUCAUCAUUACCUGAAGUGAAUUAUGUCUAAUGAAGUGUGAAAAUGAAUAAGAAAAUAAGAAACCAGCUGUAUUUAUGAAAUCAUGGAAAUCUAAAACAAAAUAGAACGUAUUGUUUUAUCAAAAAUCAUUGAUUAAUUUUAAAAGAUCGAAACAAAUGGACCAGGAAUUUUAUAACUGAUGAAAAGAAUUGUCAAAACUAGUGGAGUUUACAUUAGUACAUUGUUUAAUAACUAUUAUUUUAUUUUAUUUUAUAUUAUUUUAAAGUAAAAGCUUGUAUUCAAAGAAAAAUAUAAUAUAGUCUUACAUUUCUUUUUUAUUCUUAUGUUUAUGUUGAAUAAUUGUUUAAAAAAUACCUUAAAGGUAUGAUUCUUUAGGACGUGACUUGUAUGGCUGACAGUACUGGUUUUACUAUUUUCAUAUAAAAUAGAUUUCCUACACCACCACAGCUGCAUGCAACGAACGCUUGCGACAGUUAAAACGCACCGGCCACUUGACUGUUGACCAAAAUGCUGUAAAAUCCUUCAAUUAUUCUAGUAAGAAACAAAUUGUGGGUUUUCCUUGUAUUGCAUAUUUUACAUAGUUAAGUUGCAUGUUUGAUUAUUGUUUCUUUUCCGUUGAUUUCUUCUAAAAGAAGAAUUUUGAUGAGAAUUUUAUUUCUGACUUAGUAACAUGUCUGGUUUUAUAAUAAAAACUAAGGUGUGUAGUGCGUCGAAUUUUGUAUUGUAGGGAAUCCAUAAUUGAACUGUGCGACCAAAAUUUCAGUCGCACUGCGUCAGCUGCACGAGUCACGUUUCUACAAUCUUGUCCUAAAGAAUCACACCUUAAGUGUAAUAAAUAUAUUAUAAUGAAUCUUAUUUAGAUUAAAAAAAAAACCUAUAAAA